GCGCCUUUAGCUCAGUUGGUAGAGCGCCACGUUUACACCGUGGAUGUCAUCGGUUCGAGCCCGGUAGGGCGCA
rnacentral:tRNA from 2 species